CGCUUUCGCGAUUAAAACUGUGUCCGUCUCGGUCCCAUCAAUACAUUUGGUCAAGCCCUCCAAGACAAAGAUGUUUUCCAGUGCAAAACUCCACUCGUCGAAGUUCUCGCGACCGAGUAGUUUUGGACAACUGUUUAAAUAGUUGAUCGACAUUUCACUUUACUGAAUGAACAAACUGCGAUUUUCUCAGGGAUUUCAAAUCAAUUCAUAUCAUAUUAGACAGUGAAAGUCCGAACUAAUGAAAUGGAAUCUGUGGAAGUAUCUAUGUGUGGUUGCCGUAAAACAGGCUUCAAAUGUUCUGCAGUGUGCCUCAAUUGUUCUGGUAGAACCUGCAGUAAUAUCAUGGAAAAAUAAAAAUUAAUCGAA